GAGAAUUUAGCAGAGAUGCUUUAGUGCCUUCGGGAACUCUGAGACAGGUGCUGCAUGGCUGUCGUCAGCUCGUGUUGUGAAAUGUUGGGUUAAGUCCCGNAACGAGCGCAACCCUUAUCCUUUGUUGCCAGCACGUAAUGGUGGGAACUCAAAGGAGACUGCCGGUGAUAAACCGGAGGAAGGUGGGGAUGACGUCAAGUCAUCAUGGCCCUUACGAGUAGGGCUACACACGUGCUACAAUGGCGCAUACAAAGAGAAGCGACCUCGCGAGAGCAAGCGGACCUCAUAAAGUGCGUCGUAGUCCGGAUUGGAGUCUGCAACUCGACUCCAUGAAGUCGGAAUCGCUAGUAAUCGUAAAUCAGAAUGUUACGGUGAAUACGUUCCCGGGCCUUGUACACACCGCCCGUCACACCAUGGGAGUGGGUUGCAAAAGAAGUAGAUAGCUUAACCUUCGGGAGGGCGUUUACCACUUUGUGAUUCAUGACUGGGGUGAAGUCGUAACAAGGUAGGCGUAGUGCU
rnacentral:rRNA from 1 species